AAUAGAUACCCUGGUAGUCCACGCCGUAAACGAUGAGUGCUAAGUGUUAGAGGGUUUCCGCCCUUUAGUGCUGCAGCUAACGCAUUAAGCACUCCGCCUGGGGAGUACGGCCGCAAGGCUGAAACUCAAAGGAAUUGACGGGGGCCCGCACAAGCGGUGGAGCAUGUGGUUUAAUUCGAAGCAACGCGAAGAACCUUACCAGGUCUUGACAUCCUCUUGACCUCCCUAGAGAUAGGGAUUUCCCUUCGGGGGACAGGAGUGACAGGUGGUGCAUGGUUGUCGUCAGCUCGUGUCGUGAGAUGUUGGGUUAAGUCCCGCAACGAGCGCAACCCUUGACCUUAGUUGCCAGCAUUUAGUUGGGCACUCUAAGGUGACUGCCGGUGACAAACCGGAGGAAGGUGGGGAUGACGUCAAAUCAUCAUGCCCCUUAUGACCUGGGCUACACACGUGCUACAAUGGAUGGUACAAAGGGCUGCAAGACCGCGAGGUUUAGCCAAUCCCAUAAAACCAUUCUCAGUUCGGAUUGUAGGCUGCAACUCG
rnacentral:rRNA from 1 species